GCCAGCAGCUAUAUCACCCUGCAACUCACAACUGGCAACCCACUGAAGCUAAGCAGGUGUGAGCCUGGCCAGUACCUGGAUAAGAGACCUCAUGGGAAAGCUAAGGUUGCUGCUGAAA
rnacentral:rRNA from 1 species